rnacentral:lncRNA from 1 species
UUUUUUUUUUUGGGGUAAAACUUCCUACACACACACUGCCCAACCAUUUUUCUUCUUUAAUUUAAAUCACGAAUAAAGGUGCUACAGUAAUAUUUUCCUAUUUACCCAUCUAAUCGAUCCGAUAUCGGACUGGAUAUUUAGACCACAUAAUAGAAUGGAAUCGUGUUCAUGAGACAUCACAUCCGAUCAAAUUGGUACCCUUCUAGGUAUUUCAGGAAGGCCACCGGACCUCUACCCUUGGUGUUUUUGACCCUGGAUAUAAGUUAAGAAACCUUAAACAGAACAUUUGCAUAUAAUAACUAAGGCCAUGACUACACUUGUGUAAAUCUCUUCAUAGCAGAAGAGAGAACUCUGCAGGAGGUACGUGCAGCUACAGUAAUAAAAAUUUUCCCAAGUGAUUAGUCGGAAAUAACUGAAAUUUGUGCUUGCCAUUACAAAUUUGCAAAAUACCAACAAAAGAGAGAUGCAAAAAUAACUAUCAAGUGUCAUCCUCCUCGUUGCCAUCCUCAUCAUCAUCUUCCUCAUCAUCAUCACCUUUUCCCUUAAUUAAAGAUGAGGAAAUAGACAUUAGACGCGGGCAGUAAAGGAAAGGAAAUAAAAAGGCAAAUGAUAUUUGCACUCUAGGCACUCCACACUUGCUCAUUUUCGUUUAAAGUGACAAAAAGACCCAUAACCUAGAAUCCUUGACUAUUUGAAUAACAAAAUUGCCCCCAAAGGCAUAGUAAAUGCAUAGAGGGGCAAUUUCGUCUCUUUAAAUAAUUUAUAGGUUUUUUGUGUCAUUUCAUUAACUGAUAAGCGAAGAUAGGGUGCAAGGAGCUUAUCUUGGAGUGCCAAUAUCAUUUGCCGUAAAAAAUGAACUAAAUUGUAACAGAUUAUAGAAAAAUGUUACAAGCAGUUGUAGCAGUUGACAAAUAGCACAGAAGCCAAUAUUUACAGCUCAAAAACAAGAAGGAGUCCAUGCACCAAAUACCACGAAACAGAGCUAACAGGAAGUGAAACACCAGAACUUCUCCUACUUCUGUAUUGCCACCAUAGCCAGAGUUAUCUGACCUCUGCUUUCAAAGAUAAGACCCAAGAGACUUAAAUCUGUUUCUUAUUUACUACUUAGCAUGUACUUCUUACAAAACACAACAGAUGUCAGAAUUGGAACAAAAAAGUGAAGAGAAGUCAUGAAGGUACAAGUAAAUUGGUAACCAUCCAUAUGACAACAUCAAAUAACAGAAAAGUGGCCUUUGAUAUGGAUAUUGGCAGCUUAUUAUAAAAGAAAGUGAAAACUAAAGAAAGCAGAUUGGUGUUAUAUGUCAACCUGGUCCUCUGAGUUCGUAACUAAAUGAUCACCAACUCAAGAAACAAAUCUCAACUCUUGGAUGAAUAUCCAUAGAAGUUAUGGUACUGAUAAAAUUGGAACUGGGGGACUAAAAUUUAGUCAAAUCCAGGAGAGAGGGUGCAUGAGUUAGUAAAUGAGAAGCUUUUCUAGGUUCUAAAGUGCCUGCCUGUUUCCAUGGGUUCCACAAAAUGUAAAAAAGCAAAAGCGUUGAUUUAUACCUCUUCAUCAUCCUCUUCUCCCUCGGAAUCCUCUUCAUCAGCUUCCUAUCAAAUCAAAAUAUGAAUUCUGUAAGCAAGGAGAAAGAGCUAUAAAUCAGAAAAAAGGAACAGUCAAAAUGGAUUUUACAUUGUUGAAAUAUUUCAGAGGGUUUGGCCAUAAAUCCUCCUUAAUUAUCUCUGCCACCUGCAUGUUUAAAGUAGAUGACAGAUAGAAUGAGAACAGGGAAGAAACCAUACUUCUUUAUUCAUCUAGAGCUACAAAGAUCACAAUAAAGUGAUCAUUAGAAGUAACAACUUGAAAGCCAGCCAAAAGUGUCAACCAUAUAUAUUACUACAUUUUACCACAAACAAAAAUAGCUAAUAAAGUUCUUAUAAUUGUAUGGAGAAUGAAUGUGAAAAGGCUUCAUAAAUUCAACAAGUAAUUACCUCAUCAUUAAGCCCCUCUACCUCAAGCGUAUCUUUUUGUUGUGUUUCAGAAAACCAACUAAAGAAGCUGCAUUGACAAUGCCCAAAAAAAAAAAAAAUGGUGAACUCUAGAUCAUACUUUCAGUUUAAGGGAAACAUACAGGACCUUUAGUAGAUAACUUAUAGCUUUCAACAGGUAAGUGACAUCAAUUCAUCAGAUGGUCACAACAAGAUAAAGGUGAGAAGCAUAUAUGCAGAUUUGCAUGUGCUUAACAAUUGGAAGACCAUGAAGAUUUUCCUCUUCACAAUCACAAUUGGACUUAAAAUAUAGUCCGGACUUGAGUUGCAGUUUCUAAAGAAGAGAUUUUCACUUGGUCAAUGCUCAGCUAGAAUACUAAGCAUAGCUAUUCAAGCUAAAAUGUCAGUCAACACCAUGGUCAAUGAAAAGCAUAAUCAGCAGUUGGAGCUCAAUAUGUAUCUACUAUACAUUAAACAACUUUUACAAUCUAAAACAUGCAUGCAACAAUGACGUUAACAUCUCCCUAAAUUCCUAACAGUUGGAUAAUUAUUAUCCUUAGCUCCAUGUGGUCAUCUAUAAGUUGAAGAUGCUAACAUCACAAAGCGUAUUUAUUUUCCAUGUCCAAAAAGCCAAUCAUCUGAUAUAGAGUCUAGGGAAAAAUCUGAAUAGAAAUGCAUUAAUUAGCAGAAAAUACCUGUCAUCAGAUGCUGGUCGUUUAUUUCCUUUCUUUUCAUGACUGCCUCCAUUUGCAGCCCCCUUCAAUUUUUUGAAGUUGUAGAAUUCAAAAUUAUAUACAAUAAAGGAUUCAAACUGCCCAAGAAGGAAUAUAUAUUCAAAUUAUUACCAUGCCUUCCUUCCACUUGAUAGCUGUACCAAUUAUCCUUGUUGUUCCUUCAUCUAAGAAGAUAAAUGUCUUUGUCAGCUUCGUAUCUUCAAAAUAUGGGUUUUGCUUGAAAUUCUGAAGAUCAAAAGCAAGAUUUCAGGUAAGAAUACAAGUACAAUACAUAGAUCAAUAACCAGCCUGCAAUGUCAAUUGUCCAUUUGUUUUUCUGAAGGAUGAAAGUUUCACGAGUAAAAGAAGAAACACACAAAUGUAAUUGAGUAACCCGAUUUCACAUCCUUAAAAUCCUCCACAUCAAGCGAAUCCAAAUAUUUGAAAAUCUGCAUAAGAAAUAAAUGUACAACCAAAUAAUCAGUGGCUAACAUUCACUAAAGAUGGUCAAGAAAAAAUAAAUUUAUCCUCCUAUGCUUAUAUCAGGAGGGUAAAUUGAAUGGCAAACUAAUCAGACCAAGUCAAAAGGUAAACUGAAAGGAAAAUCCUUUGGACUCCCAACCAAAAAUUUCCAAUCCACUAAAUUUCUAAGCACGUUGCAUACCUUCUGAUCCUCCUCAUUCAACAGAUCACCAAGCGCUGGAUGACUCAAAAACUGCAGGAAAAAGUAAAUUAAUAAAAAAUAAAUAACUAAAAGGAUCCCCUAAUAAGUUUCAACUUCAUUGAAAUUAGAAAAGGGAUGGCUUUGUAACUCACAGCAGUCAACCAAAAGUCAGGAAUUGUCUUUAUGAUCUCGCUUCUUCGGACAUAAACAGGCCUCCGUAAUUCAUUGUACUUCUGUUCAAUUUCCAGUACUUUGUCACUGGCAUCUUCAUUUACCUGCAAAGAAUAAGUCUUUUAGUCAAGCCCCACUUCCGCGCAAAGAAUCCCAGGCAGGAAAGAAUUAAGAGAAGAAUUCAUCUGGAAGUGUCUAAUCAACUUUUGUUUUUUUCUGUCUCCCUUAUUUAUUUAGCCAUCUUUCCUAAUUCCUGGGUGUCAAUUCUUUACCAUAUCAGCAUAUAUACUUGCCAGAAAAUUUCCAGGUCCACAUACAUCAUAUCAAGAUCAAACUAACUGGCUACAUGUAUAAACAAUUCCCAUCUUUGUAUGUCUACAUAAAUAUAUCUACUUACAAAAAUCUACACAGAAUGAAAUAAUUCAACAGCCUGUCUAACAGAUCAUAAUAUGAUAAAGAAGACCUGAUGGAAAGGCAAAAGGAUCCAAUCCAAGACACGAUUAUGCAUGCAUAAAUACAUGUAUUGAUGUAUGUCAGGGGGAUCCAAAAACGUUCUUCAGCUCAUCUUGGACAUCCCUAACUUUCUUAGUUUUAGCAGAAAGUUCAGCACGCUGAACAGGAUCUUCCUCAUCGCUAUCUCCAUGAAUGCUCGAUUUCUUUCCAGGAAAUGCAGCCAUACUUUUGUUGGAGAUAGUGAGGCAAAUAGAAAUUCUCAGGCCAAAAAAUCUUGCGGGUUUGUGAUUGUAAAUAACUUGCACUUUCAGGAGAACAUACUAUUGGCACACAGAACAGGUGGAUGGUGGAUGUCAAGUCAAAAAAAGCAAGGUCAACAUGUUUAAGUAUGCUCCUUCAGAUGUGCAAAUUCAGGGAAGAAAAAAUUUCACAUCUGUUAUGAGCAUCAUUGUCCAACCAUUCAUCCUUUCAAAUUUCAGCAAAAAAGAGUUAAUGUAUAUAUCUUUGCUAACAUCUACAGUGUAAGAGUUAGCAGGAAGGAACUACAUCAGUUUUCUCAUAUAUUAACCUUGAUUAACACCAAAAAAAUGAGGCAACAACUACAAAAACAUUAUCAAGUACUCGCCCACUCCACAAACAAUUUUUCCUUGUAGAAGACAGAAGUCAACAUAUUAACUAGCAUCUGUACAAGGAUCAAGGAAAAACAAAUACUCCCUCCGUCCCACUUUGAUAAUCUUGGUUCUUUUUUCACACAGUUUAAGAAAAAGUAGUUAACUUUGUUGAAACAAUCAAUUUAGGUAGCUAUUUUCCUAAAAUACCCUCACAUUAAUUAGAGUACAACUUUAUGGGAACUUGAAUUGAUGGUAAAAAAAGAAUAAACUCUCGUUAAAUGGGGUAAGUUUAUAGUAACAACAACUUACAUUGAACAAGGGUAUUUUAAAAAAAUUAAAAUACAACUACAUUCUUCAAUUGGAAAGUGGACUACAAUUUGGGACAGACGAAACAGGAAAACAUGACUAUCAAAGUGGGACGGAGGGAGUACAAGAAGAUUUUCACGUGCAUAAUUCUGUGCCUUCAAAAAUUAUCCUUUCCAACAAAAAUAAAACUGCAUACAAAGCCUUUUCCUCUUUAUUUCCAUUCGUUGCACCGAAACACUACAACAUUUUGCAAGGCAAACAGGGAUCACCUUUUGUAGAAAUAAACCGCUAGAAAAGUUAUAAUUGAGAGGAAGAAAAAUUAAGUAGAUAUGUAGGGGGAGAUGGGAAACAGAGGAGACCAAAACUAAAAUCAAAUUUUUUUAAUUUUGCCAAGUAAAGGAAAAGUAUUCAUUAGAAUAUUAACCUAAAAUGUGGUCUGUUUCCAUCAAACUAAAAAGUACCUUUCGCCUGAUAGGAGGGGAUAAGGAGAAGUAACAAUUGGAGGUGGGGGUAAUAAAAAUUAUAUUGCUAAUCUAAUUAAAAACUAUCAGAAGAAGCAAAUGCAAGGCAAGGAGCUUCUUGUAUCUGCAGCGAUCAACAGAUGAGUGUAUAGAAGGACCAAUUUGUACUUGCUUAAGCUCUAGCAUCUAAAUAUCAGCCGUCCACAACUCAACCCAACCCUCCAAUGUAUUGACGUAAAAACCCUAGUGGCUCUCAUCUAUGACCAUGCAGAUGUUAGUAAUUCCACGAACAAAAUCCCAAUAUGUGAAACUAGUACUGGUUCAUUCACGAUAAUGAUGACAAUUUUUUCUAAUAGAAAACUAGAAACGUUUAGUAUAAAUUAUGCAAAAGGAAAAAAAAAUAUACCUUUUCAAGCUCGUCCUGGACUUCUUGAAGCUUCUCGAUAGAGAGAACAAGCUCGCCAUCAAUGGGAUCGGAGUCUUCCUCCGCUGGAGCGGCCACCUUGGAUUUCUUUCCUCGCUCAGCCACCAUCUGUUUGUUUAGAGAAUGAAAGGAAACCCUAGGCGGGUUGUAGGCAGUUAAGCUUAAGCUUCAACCCCUGGAUUGGAUUGGUGGAAUGAGGAGUGGGGAUUGUAUGAAGCGGCAGAGUGAAGGGAGUCCAACUUCUUUUCGAGGGCAGAGACAACAAUUAAAUGAAAAUAUGUGGGCAAAUGUUUUUAAGUUACUUGUUCACCAUUUUGUGUCUAAGCUCUGCUAGUACUCAAUCGAAGCUAAUUUAUGGUCACAAACAUUCUCUUACCAUCAAUGAAAGGUUUUGGACAUAUAUAUACUGUAAAUCUUGCAUAAAAUUGAAGGUGUAUACAUUAUCGCGGUUGGAUAUAUGAUAUAUAUACAUAAUUUAAAUUUCAAAUUCAAAUUCAAAUAAUCUGUCAUGAAUUUUAUGAUGAAAGUGCAUAUACUGUUAAUACAAAAGAACGGCGCAAAAACUAUGCUAAUAUAAAAAACAACAGGAUGAAGAUAUCAGAACCAACAAUGAGCACCAACAACAUCAUCAGAUCCUCGAAUUAAGUCUAAUAAGAUAAAUCUAAUUAGUAGUUAGAAAAUAAUUUUUAUUACGAAUGUCUAACUCUAAGAUUGUAACUACCUCUUUCAAACAUAAGGGCGAUAUAAUAUAUCCUAGCAUACUCAUUGGAGUUUUUUUUCGCCUCUUUAUAUGAUCAUAUAGUAUAAUCAUGUAAUAGUAUCUCUUUUUUUUUUUCAGUGAAGGAUCAAUAGUAAUUGUAAGUUUUGUCGGGAUGAUUCCUUCGGAAAAAAAAAAUAAUGACUUGUGUUUUAGUCCUCUAUGUUAUGGCCUCUUCAAUUGAUUCUUUAUUGUUUAGAUUUGACUUAAUUUUCAGAUAUUCUUCUGACUUAUUUCAUUUUUAGUUCCCGUUGGCGUUGUAUUUGAAUGCUAAUUGAUCCUUAAAUCCGUAUUGACUUUUUUUGUAGUAUGCUUUGAGGCGUCCUCCUUCAAAAUCAAGCAUAAAAGAUGCAUGGAUCCUAUGUAUAUAUCGUGGAGUCAUUGGCAUGCUAAUCAAGAAGCCAAACUAUGCAAUUUCGGUACUCAGCUCUAUUCUGUUAUUAAUCGUUAGUUCCCCACUUCUUUUUUUUUUUUUUUGGAGAGGGAGAGCAGUAGAAUAAUAAGAUUAAUAGAGAUAAUAAUAUUUCUCUCAAAUAGUUUGUUUUAUUGAAGGGAACAAAACCCAAAAUAAGCACAACAUGAGUUGAUCUAGCAAAUCUAUGAGUGGAUGGUAUGCUUGGAACUUUCACAUAACCACAGUGGUAAUCAGUAAGGUCUAAACGUAUACUAUGGUGAUGACUCCAGCCCAAGCACCCUUCCAAUUAUUUAUGAUCCAUCAUAUCGAUCUCUCGCAGUAUCCAUCUCAAGGAAUGCUGGAAAUCAAACACAGGAGACGAAAAGACAAAUUCCGGUUAGCGAGAAAACGUAAUAAUAAUUACAGUACUAUAUUAGUAGUACGCAUCAAAAAAGAAUGAUGACGGUCCAAAUCAAAACCAAAAGCAGCAAAAAGAAAAAAAGAAAAAAAAAAAAGAAACACUAAGCGCAGCACCUGUUGCAGUUAGUACUAGAAGAGAUGGGGAAAGGCAAGGAGACACCACACCGUCCAGGAAGGCUUGUGGCAGCAUCCGGCUUGAGAUUUGGGAAGUGGCCGGCGGCAGACUUGACGCAGUUGCAUGCAGUUCGCCUAUCUUGUUGGGUAGGGAUGCUCCCCAAGUUUUUCACUCCACUACAGCAUGAACUUGAUGGAGUGCCUCCUUGGGUGAGAUACGGCACGCAAGGCUCAAGUUCGUGGGUAACUUGUUCACAGGUGAUUGCUUCACCUGGCCUUGCCACCAAGACUAGCACCAGAACAAGACUUACCACUGCAACCACCUUCAUCAUGUUUUCGCCGGAUCAACUAGUAGUAUACGAUUUGCGCGGAAUAUACUCGAGUGAGAGGGGU